UGAAAAAGUUGAAUUAUUUUUUUAGGAAAACUCUACCCGUAGUCAAAUUGGGGCACCCCUUGCCCAUCCCCUGCUGACUGGCAAUGGGUUUAAUAAAACGGUGCGGAUUGCUUUUUGGUGGGAGACCAAAUUGAAGACUAAAUUGAAACGGUGCGAUCAGUUUGCUCCUUUUUCCCCAACCUUCUCCUUCUUCUCCAUUCCCCAGAAGCCCCUUCUUCCUUCGUCCCAUUCCCCCUAGCUUCUGCAAGCCAAAAAUCGCAGUUCAUCAGGGCCCACGAAAAACAAUUUCUCGAAGCUGGACCGGAACGGAGACUCACGCAGCGGCUACCGGAACUUGACGUGGAAGGAGAAGAAGAAGUCGAGGAAGAAGAAUAACCGAGAGGUGGAAGGCUCAGUGGAGAAGGAAUUGAAGAAGCUCGGACAAAGUCGAUACAAUCGCAACGGUUUCAAUUUCUGAGCGAUCAACGAAGAAGAGAUGACCAAUAUAUAAGGAAAAACACCCGAGUUGACCAAACGGUGACAGUCCAAAAAUUCGUGGACGUCCAUGGUAGAUACCACAAACAACUGCCGAAUGUACGUUCUGGUUUUCAGAGGUGGUUUUAGUAGUAGAAGGGGACUUGGAGAAGAAAUGUUGCAUUGGUUCGUAAACGGGAAAGCAAGCUGAAGCUUCUUCGUGGUUCUCUUCCUGCGAGAGAGACGUGCGAAGACGUUCGGAGAGGAGAGGGGCCAGCGGAGAUGGGCCAACGGAGACGUAGGUGCACUGGUUCGUACUGAGCGGGAAACCAAUCUGAAGCUUCCUCGUGAAGCGUAGUUCUCUUUCUUUCUUGUUCAAUUCUCUUUCUUU